CCUACGGGAGGCAGCAGUCGGGAAUAUUGCACAAUGGAGGAAACUCUGAUGCAGUGACGCCGCGUGCAGGAAGAAGGUUUUCGGAUUGUAAACUGCUUUAGACAGGGAAGAAACAAGACAGUACCUGUAGAAUAAGCUCCGGCUAACUACGUGCCAGCAGCCGCGGUAAUACGUAGGGAGCAAGCGUUAUCCGGAUUUAUUGGGUGUAAAGGGUGCGUAGACGGGUAUAUAAGUUAGUUGUGAAAUCCCUCGGCUCAACUGAGGAACUGCAACUAAAACUGUAAAUCUUGAGUGCGGGAGAGGAAAGUGGAAUUCCUAGUGUAGCGGUGAAAUGCGUAGAUAUUAGGAGGAACACCAGUGGCGAAGGCGACUUUCUGGACCGUAACUGACGUUGAGGCACGAAAGUGUGGGGAGCAAACAGGAUUAGAUACCCGGGUA
rnacentral:rRNA from 1 species